GUAUCUAGUAUGUAUUCAGUUUUCGGGCURGGCAAUUUGGGUUGUAAAGUUCUGCAAAGUCUUUUAUUCUCAUUGUUGUUUAGUUUGUAAAUGCAUUUGCAUACCGAGUGCGCCGAAUCGGUUGAAUUUGCCGUUUGAUAGUUUURUAGAGGACUAACUUGUUGGAACCCUGUAAAACUUUAUGACGGAUGAAUUUGGCUGUCAAAUUGAGUUGGUUUUUCGYGAUAAUAGUUGUGAAUUGGAGUUGUUUUUGUACGAUGCAUGCGUUUUGCAGUUAUGGCUUUARUUCACRUCUCUUAUUGCUCUGCUCUUUAUUCGGUGUUUAGUCAAUCACCUACCUGACCCGUCUUGAAACACGGACCAAGGAGUUUAAGGUGUACGCAAGUCAUUGAUYGUUWAAGUCAYAGGCGUAAUGAAAGUGGGACACUUGGUGUCUGUGAUGUGAGCUUUUUU
rnacentral:rRNA from 1 species